CUUAGGCACUGCCCGGCCUCAUGGGACCCUGUCACCUGCUGCUUAACUGACUAGGCAGGUUUCUCAGGGAGGGCUUUGUCCUGAAUGGCAUUUCACCCUGGAGGCGGGUCAUGGAAUGGACUGCAAACCUCUGACAGGAGGAGGCAGUUUUUCUGAGGGAGGCCCCUUGGUUUUCACUGAAUCCAGGGAGCCUUGGUGGCCGCGAGUACAACCCUGGGCCUGGGCACAGCACUGUGCUCCUGGGGAAGCCUUUAUGGCAAUCUCCCGCUGAGCCUUACAGCCCAGCCAGAGGCAGCAGUGCACUGCCCAUUGCGCAGCAAUGAGGGGUGCCGGGGUGUUGGGCAGGGGAGCCACGGCAGGAGUUAAGCCCUAGCCAGAGGCUCCUUCUUGAUGAGGCACAACUCAGAGACUUUCAAGACCUCCGGUGGCAAGAGGAGUCUGCCUGGAAGCCUUCAAGCCGCAGAGGCUGCAGUGAGUGUGCGCAUGCGUGACUCUCCAGCCCUCGCGGUCUCCCAGAACGCAGCGCUUAACCUUCAACGGAUCCCCGAGCAGGCUCUGAGCCGGGAGGGAGGUUCAAGGGCACCCUAGUGUUCAGAUCGCAGCAGCUGGGCCUUUGGGACAAUGUAGAAGUUACAGGAACAGCUUGGAGAAUUCGCUCUCCGGAUUCUUGGGGAGGAGGAGAAACCUUGGGCCAAGCCCUUGCUGAAGAAGCCAGGAGGUGCACUUCUGGGCUGCCACAGGACCUAGAGGAGCAGAGGUGAUGUGAUUUAAGGUCACCCUAUGUCCACAGAGCAUCCUACACUGAGAGCUAUGAAGACAGCGCUCACAGUCCACAGCCCAGUCGGAGCCCUUAACUCUUCUGAUUUCCCUCUGAGUAAGUAAAUGCCUGCACGUCCUGUCUCUCAGGAAAGAGGAAUACAAAAGGAGCUCAUGUGUCUCAGGGAAAAGUUAAUAGAAAGCUUCCUUUAUGCCUGUACAUUCUGUGAGUGUACAUGCUGAACGGGGAGGAUUGUACUUAGAAUGGAAGGGAUUGUAUUCCACGCCCAAUGUGGGUUUAAAUUGUUUUUUAGGACAGGAGCAAGAGAGGGGGACUGUUUGGAAGCUCUUGGGGAAUUCAUUUUUUCUGUCUCAGCCAAUCAACCCAUCAUUGCUAACUAAAAUCCUGGGGACCCUGAGGGGAUGCCCACCUGUGACAAUCUAUAAAUGCUAAUAUACAGACACCAGCUCAGUCCCUCCAGGCUGACUCAGAAGGUUCUGUAGGCAGUGACUGUGUGGGUGCAGCGUGACUUGGAAAGAGCAUCCUCCCAGGGUACUUCACUGCCUCUGAGUGUGUAUUUCAAAUGCAUCCCUCAUCCCCUUAGUGCUGAAAUCAGAGUUCAUUUGAAGACGGCUGAUGUGGUGGAGAAAAUGAUGCUGUUUAACAAGCAGCAGUGCGAAACAUAAAAUGUGCUGAGAAGACAGAAACCAGAGAUGACAGGGGCUGCAUAUCUAGUGUGAGACACACAGACAGGAGAGACCCCUGAGCGGGCCUUGUAAACGUAAGCAUGGCUGUCUACUCCCUCCCACUGGAGAACCUAGCAAGCUGGGUUCCUAGAAACAACAUAAUAUUAAUACACUACUGUGGAUGUCUAUGGCAUGAGCACCUGCCAUGAGUCAGGUGUACCCAGGCUAAGCCCAGGAAGGGAGGGAAGCAGAUUCCCAUCUCUGGCUGACUUUCCCAACACAGGCAGCAGCUGGUGCAGAGGACCCUGUCCCACAAGUCUCAGCCACACUUGGGCCCUGCAGAAAGGGCAGGGGCAGUGCCUUCUGGAGCAGUCGUGGUGGAUCUGAAACCUUUGAGUUCCUUGACAAGAUGGGAGUGUCCUACAGGGCACUAAAGAAUCACCACACAUUGGGUGCAUUGAACAGCACAGGUCAAGGGGCCAAGGCUACAGUCAGAUGUCACCAGGGCUUGUUCCAUCUGAAAGUUCACCAUGUUUGUGGGCAGCUCAGAGCAAACCAGGUAAAAGUAUUAUUACUGAACACUGGCUGGUGGGCACCUCCUUGUCUCCAGUUCUCAGGGAGCUCCAGUGUCUAUCUUCAAGGAGUUCAGGGCACACAGACCAUUGUAAGAAGAGUGUCAGAGACAAGUGACAGACACAGAUGUGAGUGCAGACAAGGAGUCCCAGGUUGGGGGCAAGUGGGACAGUUAGGCUUCCAGAGAGGCCACCUAUAACCCAACCCAGGUGAGGGCAGCUGAUCAAAAAAUGGGGGAAGAAAUGUUCAGGACACAGAAACCAGCCAGACACAGGACCGGUCAGGUGUGCAGGUCAGGAGGGAGGAUCUGGAGGAAGGGAAAGAACCAGCCAGUUAUGGAGAGCUUGGGGCUGGAGGCAGGCAUAUAGGAGGAUGCAAAAGUGACCAGCAGAAGAUAGCUCACUAGGCAAGGGUGACAGUUUCUUGGGGCCCACUGAAGCUGGAAAAUGUGAGUCCUUUCUGGGAAUUUACUCUAGCUGUGCCCAGAGGUUUCCUGCAGAGCAGGCCCAGAAAGGUUGGCAGAUUGCUGCAGAACAGGGUUGUGCCUGAGGCAUGGCCAUGGUUCAAGCUUUGGGCUUCCUGCCAGGCUGUGGAUACAGCUGAAACGGGCAGGUAACAAGGCGAGGAGCAUGUUCUUCAGCUUUGCAUUGCCUUAAGAGAACACCAGAGGUACUCAGCAAGGGAAAAGUUUAGCUGUGGCUCAAAGUGUGAGAGACCCUAUACACUGGGUCUGUGGCAGCACAGGACCUCAUGGAGGGUCCUGUGGAAAAGAUCUGCUCGCUCAUGGCAGUCAGGAAGCACAGGGAGACGGGAAGUGACGAGGGUCAGCACAUCCCUUCAAAGGCACAGCACAGUGACCCACUUUCUUCCCACCAGACUACCCUUCACAGAUCCCCUGCUGGCUCAGCACCCAGCCCAUACCACAUGGGCCUUGGGGUCCACUUCAAAUGCCAACUAUGGCAGCAAUAACAUGGCAAUAACAGCAAGAAUGUCUGCAUGGAAACUUCCAGAUGGAGAGCCACUGUGUGCAAUGGCCCCGGGUGGACGGGGCAGGGGGAAGUAGAGAGGGAUACACAAUGAUGUGACCAAAGAACAGUGUGGCCACUGCCAGAUGGGCUGUGCAUGGCAGCUACAGAGGCCAGAGCACUAUGGGUUCCCAGGGAGAAGAGAGGCAUGGAAGGGCCCAUGUCAGUCACAUGGGCAGGAGUAGGAGGUGCCCUGACUGGACCCCCGAGACACUUGCUCCAGGCACCCCUGACCUGCAUUCACUCAUCCAGCAGCUAGUGGUGGUGUCUACUUUGCCAGCCACAUUGCAGAACCAAGAACACAGGGAACAAGUGGGGAGCCCUGCGGGGCCCCUUGGACUUGAGCUUCUGGAGCUCCCUGGGCAUGGACACUUGGAUGCUGCCUCACUCUGAUGCCCACCCGUGGAGAGGGCGCCCUCUCCACUGUCAUACCUGCAGGGCAGCAGCAGGUAGUGCAGUCUGCAAAGCCCUUGUGGCCUCCAACUCCUCCACAUUCACAGGAAUCGCAGCAAAUAGAAGGCCAGGGCUUCCCCAGGGGCAGGAGGUGAGGACCACCGAAUCUGGGCUGCAGCGUACUCCAUCCUUCAUCUCACUGGAUCUGACCUCCCUGUACAAUCCACUUCCUGGAGCACAUUUUUCCCAGAGGCAGAGGCUGGAUACACCAAGCUGGUCUGACUCCAAAGCAGUACGAUUUCCAGGCCACAGGCACGGGCUGGGAAGCAGAGGCAGGAACGGGCAGGAAUAGAGAGCUGGUCACGGAAGUGACAGCCCACUGCUGCUCCAUUGUGAAAAUGGACACAAGACCACACUGUCUUUCUCUGUCCACAUAAAACUUCUGGCUGAAAAAUGUCUUUGUAUAAAUUGCAAAACGCGACCCCAUGUUCAGGAAGAAUGUGCUGCCUGAGAACUCAGGGCGCAGCUCAUGAGCCUGUAGUUGAGCUCAGAUUAUCUUCAGGGACUCUGACAAGUCAGGGAUCAGAUGUGUGGCAGGACAAGUGCCAGGGCCCAGCCCAAGGCAAAGAGGAUCUGAGCAGCCCGCUGUGUGGAAGGUCAGCUGAUCCUCUGCAAAGGCAGAGAUAUCCUCGAUUCAUAGCACCAGCGUCUUGGGAGAAGGUCGCCAUGUGCUGCCCAGGAAUGUGGCUGACAGGGUCACCUAUUUUGAUCCAGCCUGGAUCCAAAGCCAGUGCCACAGCUGGGCACACACAUGUGGUUCAAAGGAUGAGCCUGCAAAGCAUCCUCGUGCAGCUCUGUUCCAGUGCUGACCUAGCUAGCACAUUUUCUCUGCCAAGUGCCAAGAUGAGGUGCAAUCUCCAAACUACUUUAGGCAUUGGGCUGGCCCAGGGUGUAGAUAGUACUUGGUUAAUGACUUUCUGUCCAUCCUGCUGUUCCUACUGGAUGGAGUCAGCCUCUCUGUUGCCCUGACCCCCACCAUCCCCCAUGCUGUCCAUCCUGGGAAUGAGCUGCUCAGGCCCCUCCAGAUCCCAGCCCAGGGCAACUCCCUAAUGUAGCUGCAGCCACAGGCAGGGACUUAAGUCUCUGGAGAUGAGUCAGGCAUGUGCUGAGGAGUAGGCAGAAGCUGUCCAGGGACGGCUCCUGCCUGAACACUGAGCACUGAAACUUCAGUGCAAAGCAGCCAGUGAUCUAGGAGACUCGGGAAAGUGUGUGUAAGGCAUGAAGUUAUCACGUUGUCAGUUUACACUGGGUUUAGGGGAUGGGACCCCUUUGUAAUGGGGGAGCACGUGUUGGGCACAGAGAAAUAAUAAUGGGCAGAGUGACAGGAGGGAGUUUUACAUUUCUGAUGUGGACUAAGACAGCUUCCUGUCCAACACCCUUCAGAAAGAGAAACUCAGUAAUUAGUUAAGGAGAAAGGUGACGCUAAGGAGCAGCCCCAUCUCAGUUACUUAAUUUUUCUGAAAACUAGUUUUACCCACCAGCACAUAAACAUUAAAGUCUUCCCAAUACAUUAAAACCUGCAGAUCAUCAGGGCAACCUUUGUAAACAACCACAUUUAGUGGCAUGUGUUUAAAUACUAGGAUUACUCCCACUUCCACUUUCCCUUACUAUAUUAGUGCUUCUGCUUUAUCCACAUCCACAUGAAAGAAUCAAGUGCACCCCUCAACCACUAACCACUGGGUACCCCCAAACUCCACACCAAGCGUUUCGAUGAUGAGUUUAUAGAACACUAAAGAGUCAUUCUCUCCUCUGAGUGCCACAUCCCUGGCGGGUGCUGGUGCUGGUUCUGGUGCUACUGAAGUGACCUCCCGUCCUCAGUAGCCACCGUGAGGGGACCCAGGGUUCCAGCUGCUGAAUCUCUUAAGUCCUGAUGUCCCAGACAGAGGCCGGUGGCAGUGAGUUCUGGGACAUCGCGCAUCCCAGUUCUGUGGGUGCCGCUGCAUUCACACCCAGUCAGUCAGGGCUGCGUUUCUGCGAGGCGGGCUGCAGUUUCAGAGGGCGCCUUUGAACAGGCUCCUCCCUGCUCCAGUGGAAUGGUGCGUUCACACAGCGCUCACCCAAAAAAGGACCAAGCUCCUGAUACUGCGGGCCCUGGCAUGGAGCUGAAGGGAACUGUGCCAAGUGAGAAAGACCACUCUCUAGAGCGUUCAUCAUUUAGGAUUCUACUCACAGCGCAUUCUGGAAAUAACUGAAUUAAGGCGACAGGAAGACAGUGGCCUUCAGGGAUUACGGUGGGAGGCAGGAGGGGUGAGGAUGGCUGAAAGGGGGCAACAUGUGGGGCCCUGUGACGACAGUGCCACAUCUUCUCUGGGGCGGUGGUCACACUAACACGCAUGGGUGACAGCAAUGCAGCAACCAAAUACAGCCUCCUCUCAGGCCCCUGUGACCUCGGUUCUCUAAAGGCCAUCCGUGCUUCCUUUGCAUCUGUUUUCUAAAAUGCUUUGCUUCCCUUGAAAGCUGAACCUCACCUCUGCCUCAAGUGGGCUUAUACUCAGCAAGACUAAAAGGCUGUUAGAGAGAAAGAUAGAAUUAUUUUUUAUUUUUCCUUUGUUUUGCAAGUUAAAACAAAACUUGUUUUAGCUUCACUUAGGUAAAAUCUGAAAAGAAAACACGAGAUUAUAUAGCAGUCUUUUCUCUGACACAUGCAUUUUUAAUAUUGUAAAAUGAUAUGUUUUUAAAAUUUAGGGGAAUUACAACUGCAAGCUAAUGCAGGACUUUUCCUGAAAGGCUAUUUUGUGAUAAAGUAGGUACUAAUACUGCUGACAGUAUUAGAGUGCUUAACACUCCGCCUGAAGAAACCACUACUGUUCUCAAAAGUCUUUAGUACAACCCUAGGGCUUGUGGGUGACACUGGCAAAGGGAUACACGUGGUAGAACAUGUGACACAGACUUCAGACACAGCCAGGUCACCAGAGGCCAGGCCCGGUGGGUUAAAAAGAGGCACAGCUGCAGGGUGGGGACUGCAAUGGAUCCCUCUCUUGUGGCUUCCUUUGAUUCUGGCCUUCCCAAAUAAUAAAGUAGGGAUUCUUAUUCUCUACCCUUCACGAAGAAGUCAGUUGAAUACCCUUGCUGAGUAGAAAUAAUAGCAUAAAAAUGUCCUCAAUGUUUUGUCAAAUUGAUUAGCAGACAUACAGAUGAAUAAUUCAAAUUAAUUCACUCCCCAUGAUUUAUCAAUUUUAGAAUUCCACCUCAGUGGUAAUACCACAUGUUGAGUGCUUACUGUAUGGUUGUUUCAUUACCAGUUAUGAAACAUAUAAGCUUCACUCUCUGGAAUCACCCAUUUCAUAUGGUUUCCUCAGUGUUGCAGGACACACGCUUUCCUCACCCACUGGAAAGAUGAAGAAGGACUUGUGCAUUUAAGAUUUCUCAGCCACUGCAAUCCCCAUGACAGUGCUAUUUUACAACCAUACUUAGCACGCAUUCAUCACAAGAAAACACCAUGUGCAUAUAUUACCUGAUCAUGUGUCAGGCAUUCAAAUAAUCUCAUUCUCAGGUAGAUUAUUUCUCUACCUUGUUGGGCUGAACCCAUUCAUUUGCAAUGGAAUAGGUAUUUAGCUUACAACCUGAUGUCUUAGUGGACAUUCAAAGCUUUAUUGAUGAGAGAAAACAACCCUCCAAUAUUGCUCACUCAGCAAUGGAAUAAGACCAAUAAAAUGGGCCUUAGAGAAAGGAAGCACUGAGACAGAUUCAUUCAGUGUGCUUGUCAUGGAGGGUCCCCGGAUACCCCAGCUGGAUCACCUGUAAAUGUUGACUUUCCAAAUGGGAACAGCUUCGGGUGUUACCUUCUCCCCCACACACACUUGCAAGCAUAGGACAGAGGACUGACCUUGCUCUCUGCUCUACAAACCCUGUUCAUCUCAGCCCACACUAAUGUUUCUAGCUCUAAGUCACACAAAUCCAUCUGGGCUGGGACCUCUAAAAGAGGAGGAAGGAUGGGAAAGGAGGAGAGGAAAGGAGGGCGUGCAAGAAGGCCCUGAGGUCUUGACAUAAGGCAUUUGAGGCUCUGCUUCUAGAUGCUGCGCCUAGGACAGCAAGACACAAAGUGUUUUAGAACCUUCUCUGCGCGUGGAUGAAGUUACAGCUUUUCACUAAAUUUAGCGUGCAGAUACUUCGUGUAAACGAUAGCUAGAUUUCACUCCUUUUUCUUUCUAAGGUUCAGAAGACAGAAAUAUUUGGCUAAAUAACUAAGGAAGUUCUUAAACUUCCAAUAUAUAUAUAUUGAGCUAAAUUUACAUGCGUGUGUGAUGGAAACUGAAGAACAUGUAGUCCUAGGCACCUGUAGGUAGUCCAAAUUAAGAUUUCAGAGGACGAAGUUCUCCCAAUAGCUGAGCUCUAGAAAGAGCCUAGCAUUUUGUUUCCCAAUAAAGCAGAAUGGAUGGAGCAGCACCUGUAGUCAGUCAUUUCUGGUUCCAGAAGCUUCUUUUCAGCUACACACACACACACACACACACACACACGAAUUGAUUGAGGCCCAUGUGCAAGUAUUUCUUGGGCAGAUCAAGACCAGAAAUGUGCUGUGUCUUCACAGGCUCCUCUGUCAUACAGGGGAGCCAAAUAUGACAAAAUUGACAGUAGCCAUGACAGGUGCCUCAGAUUUGGUUAAAAUGACUUCAGUCUUCUCUCAGAGUAUGUUCAAAGAAAUGGAUGAUUGCUAUUAAAUCCAUUUUUAUUAGCAGGUCACAAAAUAUUAUCCUAAUAAAAUAUUUCAAACUAUAAUAAUUUGAGGAAGAGGUUUUCAGAUGCCUCUGUGGGAAAAGGAUUUAACACACCACAACACUUUGAAGUAAACCUAAGUCGACAAACCCGCCCUGCUCUUUAAGGAGGACACCAGGUGAUCAGGGCUCCUUCCCUCAGCCUCCUCCUGCCUGGCUGUCCCCUGAACACGCCUGCUCUCUCCUGCCCACACUUGCUCAGAGCAGCACGUGCUCAGCCUCCUUCCUGGGGCCGCACUGCAGGUCCUUUUCUUGCAGCCCCCAGGAGACUUCCUGUCCAUCCCUUGGAACGCUGGGAGCUCAGGUACCUUCCCUGCAGACGUUUCUACGAGGUGUUCAUUUCUAAAGUUCACACUGCCUUCUCAUGGCUGAUACUGCUGCCUCCAGAGCUCAGUUUCACGUAUCUGUUAAAAAGAUUUUCAUUCAAAAGAUGUAUUUUGAAAAUAAUUUCUGAACCCCUGCAUCACAGUCUCUCUUCAGGCUGGACGUGAAAUCUAGAACAUUUUCAAAUUCUCCAAGUCAUUCUUCCAACAAAAGCCAAGAGUCACAGCUACUUUAGGGUAAACAGGACAGAUGGGUGCUCUGUUUGAGCCUUGGGCAUGUGAAACAAGCCGGCGACUGGAGUUGGUAAGAACUCGGUUUCAUUUGUAAACAGAUAGACAUGAACCUCUGAACUGACACACCUUGGACGCUUUUCUGUUUUGCACUGAGGCAGUGAAAUCCAAGCCAAUGUUUAAUCCAAGUCUCCUGACUACUGCCAGCUCCACAGUUUAUAGAAGCUGAUGUGAAUGAUAGAAAGCAAUCCUUGGAAGAAAGAAAGCUCAGAGCGCCUAAUAGGAAGAAUUUAAUCCCUCAUGCAUGAGAACCAACAUGAAGUAGUUUAGCCUAGUUAUGAUCUCCAUUACCAGAUUUUCACUUUACCCUCCGAAAAGUGAACAAAACCUCACAAAAACUCCAUGGCAAGAGUGUCACACACAGAUCCUUGGAGUCCUGGCAUUCCCAGCAGAGAAUUCUGAGAGUCUCUAGGGGAAAAGUGGACCCCUCAAAUCAGGGCCUUAAAAUGGAUGUGUUGCCUUACAUUUUUUGAAAUUUUUUCUCCCAAGUAUUUUACAGAAAAGCAAGCUGAAGCUGAGAAUGGAAGCCCCGAAAUCACGUGGCCCCUGCCCAAGUUCCAAGUGCAAUAAAGGGUUUCUGUUUCCUAGUCUGGGAGGAUACCUGACCCCAAAUGCUCCCCGCAUCCCUUCCUGGAUGGCAGCACUCUCGAGUUCCUCUGGUUUUCUACACUCAUCCAAAUUACCUCCCUGGACAACCUCAGAAUCAAGGCUUGAGACUUCCUUGGGUGAGCUGUUGAUCUCCUGCUGCCGACGUGAAAGCAGGGGUGCAAAGUCUCUGUCCGCAGCACAGAGCACUGAAGUCUAAGGAGGGACCAGAGCUGACAGAGGACGAUGCAGUGGGUGCUGGUGCACCACUGGCCCCGGGGGCACAGCCUGAGCAGCUGGCUGCAGCUUCAGCAGCUCAUCCUGCAGGGCACUCUGUGGUGCCUUCAGAAGGCUGAUCUCUACCUAUGAAAUCCACAUGGUGCAGGAGAGUUUUACACACCACAUCCGGCCUGUUCUCAGCUUUGUAGCUUUGAAAGGCAUAAAGCCUUCUCUAAGAUGACCCAGUAAUCAUACUUUACUAAGUGAACCCAGGUUUCUACAAGAUCCUAACAGUAGAACUUUAUUUGUAAAGGAAGCAUAAUGACGAUAGUUAAAGCAGAGAUGUUUCAAACAGUGUGAAGAUGAAAAUGUCACAAGUAUGUUAAGUGAGACAAUGAAGUUGUCAACGGAACACGGUUUGCUGCCUUCUAUGGAGGGGAAGUGGAGGAAACUUCUUAGGGCUGCGGCUGCAGUUACCGAGUCCCAUUGAGGUGUGAGUGCAGCUGUGACCGUCUGUGCACUCAGGAGCCUCCUCUGAGCACCUGUGGCCUGGACAGUCUCCCAGAACCGGGGACGGCUGGGCUUAGGCUUAAGAUGCACCAGGACUCGGGGCACCUUGGCACAGAGCUGCACAGCACAGCUGGAAGGAUGCUUGCAUUUAUAAGUCAAAACUCUUCAGAUAGCAUAAUGCAUUGUGGCCAUGGUUAUUAUGCAGAGUCUCAGAAGAAAAUAACAGAGCUGGCGUGGUGGUGCAUACCUGCCGUGCAUCAUGCAGGGAGCCUGAUGCAGGAAGAUUGAGCUCCGCCAUGACAACUUCAUAAGACCUUCUCUGAAAAUGACAAAUUAAAAAAAGAGUUGGGGUUAUAUCUCCAUGAGUAGGCCCUGGGUUCAAUCCCUAGAACCUGAGGAGGAAAUAUACGGGUACCUCGGUUUACAGACUUAAUUCAUUCCAUAGUGCUGGAAUAGAUGGCCCCUUUCAUGCUCCUGAGGGGAAGAUGGCUGAGAUCCUGUUCAUCAGGCACAGGAGACCUACAGUGAGGCUGGCCAUUCUGAAUUCCUUUCUGGUUUAAACGCACAUCUGAAAUGAGUAUGCAGUGUAGGAUUCUAUUAAGAUUUCAUGGAAACUUUCCAGUUUUUUAACAACAUAGAAGCUGGCCAGGACAGCAGGAGGCUGGAGUCCCAGCUGCUCAGCAGGGGCUGAGGCAGGAGGAUCGCUUGCACCUAGCAGGUCAGGGCCAGCCUGGACAUCACAGAGAAACGCUAUCUCCUGGCAAAGAGGAAAUGAUACACAGAAGGCACCCCAACAUAAAUCAGUCACACCAAAGGACGGCACCUGUAUUCCUGUUCUCAGUGCAUCCUCCUGGGUAGGGAGCCCAGUUAAUUUCCAAAGCGUUUACAUCUCACCUUUUUUCAUUUUACAGCAAAUAUGAAAAAUGAAAUCGUUUUGAAGACUUUUUGACAACAUACUUUGUUCACCAAAAAGAUAUUAUUGAUUGUAGUCAAAAUACAAGCUCACUAUUUCUUAUCCAAAAUGCUUGGGACAAAAACUAUCUUCAAUUUCAGAUGUGUUAUUUUGGAAUAUUUCAUUAGACUUCACUGGGUGGCACUCCUAAUCCAAAAAUGUAAAAUCUAGAAAGUCAGAGCCCUGGAAUUCGGGGUAAUUAGGUUUUGGAGUAGUGAAGCUCAACUUACAGAAACAUCUCUUUAAAUUAUAGAGAAAAUCAGAAGCAAAUGUUUAACGUCUAUUAAUUAUCCUGAGUAAUACAGUACUUAAAAUCUAGCUCAGGAAGCAUCCUAAAAGGUAGAAAACCUCAACAAACUCGCACUCUUUCCAUGAGUAAAUGUCAGUAAAGUGAAAGAGUAAGUCGAAUCCUAAACCUGCAAAGAGCAAAUGUGCACAGGGCACCAGAAAGCUCCUUGCUCUCCUGUCUCUCUUCCCCUCACACCUGGAGACAUGGCGCCCCCUGCUGGGCGGUGUGACCAGGGUGCUCCACCCUCUGGGUCUCUUUCCUGCAGAGACCAGAACCCCCAAAGCUGGCAUCUCUGAGGCAGAAAGACCCUGGUGCUGACAGGCAUCAGUGGAUCUGACUGGCCAGAAUAUCGAGGCCCAGCGGAAAAAGGGAGCUGGCCAAGAAGUCCAGUUCUUUGCAUCUUCUGUCUGGGAGUUUUUAAAUGAGCGAAAAGCUUUCCUUGAUAGGCCACUGUUCAGCCUGUCAUCUCUUUUUCACACAUUUACUGUGCAAAGUAGAGAAAUGACACAAAAACCGCACCACCAAGUAAGUCCUAGAACCAUCCACCAUGCUAGGGUCAGCCACAUCCUCACUAAGCCUUCUUAAGCAGCACAUAACACAGUAAUUAAAACUAGCACAGUUUGAUUUUGUGGUUCUUUUGUUGCUGUUGUUGUUUUGUUUUGUUUAGUUGUUUGCUACUGAGUAAUCUACAUUCAUAGAUUUGGUAUGGUUUUCUUUUGUUUAGAGGCAGAGUCACACUAAAGUCCAGGAUGGGCUGGAAAUUUCAAUCCACCUCCUUCAGCCUCCAAGAGUGCUGAAAUUUCACACCUAUCCAGCCAGGCCCGGCCCGUCACAGCUCUGUAAGGAGGUUUAAUAUCAGCAUGUAGAGCUGAGUGUGGUGAUCUGUGCCUUGGUUUGAGCCCAGCCUGAACAGUUUAGCAAAUUAGCCAGAUGCCAUCGCAGGACAGAUGAGAGGAAACUGUGUGACAAUGUAGCUGAGUGUCAUUAUUCUGGGUCCAAUACUGGGCACUGGAAAACAACAGCGUAUGUAGAGCGGCCCACACGUCACAGAGCCUGGUGAGGACACACACAGCCUAAUAUGCUCACUGUGCUGCUCUCAUGCCACACACUUCAGAUGCCAGGGUGGGGACCACUGACCCCUCAAGUCAGAUUUUCGGGUCCCCAGCAUUUUGCUUUGCAGUGCUGGAUCCUGUGUAGUAGUCAUUUCUGGUUCCAGAAACUUGUUUUCAGUGACACACACACAAUCCACACAGACAAGGAUCACUGAGGCACAGGCAUUUUGGAUGCAGCUCAGUGGAAGUGAUAUAGUGUGGGUUUCACAGCGCUCCUCUGUCCUACAGGAAUCUCAAAAUGACCGAGAGCCCUGAUGCAGGCCUAGAAUUGAAUUUAUGAGCUCAAUGUUCCUCUGAAUAUUUCUGCUGUAAAGAAAUACAUGAUGUUGGGAGCCGCGGCUAUGCUAGGCCACCAUGCAUAACAGCCAUGGGGCCUGUGGGAAAGAGCAAAGCCUGAGCUAGAUUACCCCUCCCAUCGAGGGCGCCAAGAUGGCGCCUGCGUCCUGCUUCCUGGGUGUCCUUGCCGCGUAAACAGCCUGCCUCACAGAAUAAUCUGCCUAGCAACAAUUGAUGUUAGCCAAUUAGCUUGCAUUACCCGCUUCGCUUUGAUUGGGUGCUGUGACUGCAUAUAAGCGAGUGCCUCUCCCGCCACAAGAAGAGAAGCACGAAAGGAGCCGCGGGGAGCGGACCGGUAGAGGCUUCGGCCGGGAAGAAUCCCGGGGCAGACUGUGCGGAGAAGGAAAAUAAAGAGAGCCUAGCCACUGCCAGAUCUUGUCGUGUGUUCUUCCUGCCGGCCGGGAGCGACACCGACAACAUGAGUUAGAGGGCAAUGUACAAUGUAUACACCAUUGUUACCCGGGAUGUACUUUAAACUUUUGUGGUAGUUUUUUACUUUCUUCUUUUUAUCUAUGAACAAAAUGGAUUGGAAAAAUAAAAAGAAGUACAAAACAGAAAUACAUGAAUUGCACCUAAAUAGUUUUUCUCUAAUUAGUAGGAUGAUUAAAAACUUAUUCUUCUAAGCAUAAUAUUUCAAAACAUCUCGUAAUGUGAGGAAGACACAUUCAGAUGCUGUAUAGGAAACCUUUUAAGGGAAUCACACCACCGCGAAGUAAAUGUCUCUAAACACACACAAGAAUGGUCCUCUAGCAGGCCACUAUCAAUGUAAAAUGUCCCAGUCCCCUGAGAUUCCCACCAAGGCCGCACCCAGAAUUAAGCUGUUGUUUUCUGGGCCCUACCUGCUCCAAACCAACACCCUUUCCCUUCAGGGAACUGCAUCCUAGUUCGUUUUCUUGGAGCAUUUUAGAAAAUCUGGUGUGACAAUUUCGAUUCUAUGCUUUCCUUGUUUUCUCUCAUUCGAUACCAUACAUAAUAUCCUGCAUAAGUGGGGAGGAGCUGAGCUGUGCAUGGCUUCACUCUGUAAGUCAUGGUCACUACCUUCCCUACCUCCUAUGCAGCCUGGUGAUGCCUUGUUUAGUGGCCAUGAGUUCCAGUACUUUGUUGUACUUUCUUGGAAUGAUGCGGUGUUCCCUGGCCUUCUUGUUCAGGUCUGUUCACGGGCACUGUUUCUCACAGUGCAGGGCUGCAGCUGUCUCUUCAGAGUCCCCAGCGUCCCGCGUGGAAGAGGGACGCUGUGGUUCUCUGAGCCCUGCUAGCUCUUCCUUCUUCAUUGAUGUCAGACUUCUCUCCUUCUCCUCUUCAGCGUGGUCGUCCAGAUGUAAGGCACAGGCAUCACGUGGUCACGGUUAUAUACUUUCAAGUCUUAAGCCCUGCAGCGGGAAUUCACAAACUCUCACCAGGGGGCCAGGGCAGGUCCAAGGCUGUAUCUCUCAAUGCAGCUCUAUGGGAACACAGCCCAGCGCUUUGUUUACACUCUGCUGUGCAAGAGCUUUCCUCUGGCACAGACGAUCGGGGUCGCACAGCCCAGAAUCCCGUAUUUCAGCAGAGUGGGUGGAGCACACUCCACUUUGACAGCAAGCACCGCACUCCAGAGGGAACCACAGGAAACGCCAGCUGUCCCUGUAGCACGUUUCCCAUUGUGCUGUCCACUGCCCAGGCUGUGUUAACUGGGACUUCACUAUCUUCAGAGAGGCCUUACCUGGGCGAUUUCCUUAUGUUUGCAUAUUUCCUCCCGAUGUUGAUGCCUUAACUUGGCUAUUUUUGCUUCAUACAAACUCUGCAACACUGCUGUGUCAUUUUGAUGGUUGUCAAGCUCUUCCUUUCAGGGCUCCUGAAGUAUCUUAAGAGUUAUUCACAAACUAAACUGCAUUUAUGAUGCAGACAUUUACCUGAGCUAUUUAUUUCAGAGCUGGCCAAAUCUAGAUUAUUAAAAUUACUCCUCUGAUCCAAUUGAAUCUGAAAAGAUUUACAGAGUCCACAGAGAAGCACAGUUCUGAAGGAUCUCAAUCCUCUCUCUGAUACCUCAAAAGAGGUGUUUCAGCUAGGCUUGGUAUUGCACAAGAUAAUGACAGGACUCGGGAAUGCUGAUGGAGGAAAAUCACAAAUUCCACCACAGCCUGGGAACUUACUGAGACCCUACCUCAAUUUAGAAAGUCUGGGAUGUGGCUCAGUGUGCAGGUUCCGGGUUCAGUGCUCAGUACCAGAUGCGGAAACGUGUUUCUCUUUAUAAUGAAGGGACUUCCACGAGGAUCCUUGAAAGGAAAGAUGAUCCAAAGUGUCUUUGCCUAGAGAUCUAACCAAAGUGACUGAAACCAAAGUAUAUGCCUCUGAGGCUCCCCACAAGAUACCCACUGCACCGUGGCCUUUGGCUAAAGCUUAGCUUUUUCAAGUAGCUUCUGGCACUCUAUUUUAAGAAAAGUUUUUUAAAAGCUCUCUGUAAUCAGCCUAUGUAAUAAAUCUGUGGACUUAGUAGAGUACUCCUCUGGGAGUGUCAAUACAGUUGCCUUGUACCUGAUACGUUUCUGGCUCCUUUUGACUCAGUUUUCCCUGAAACACCAGUGACCCACGAGUGGUGGCCUUGGGAACAUCGGUCUCCUGCGCUGGCCCUUUUAACUGCACCCUUACUCCCAGGGCACUGCUGCCUGCUGGUCCUCUCUGUGCUCUGCACAAAGCCAGGCUUGGGAACCAGAGCCCCACCCUACUCUCAGGAAGAGGAAUUCGUGCCCACAGCUAGGGAAGCCCGGGAUUUCUGCCUUAAGCUUCCAGACUGUCAGUCAUGGAAACUCUCCCACAUGCACCUCGCUCUUCUCCCUGGGGUCUGCAGUUCUGCUUCAACCCACCUUCCCCUCACCUUGGUUUUGUAUCCAACUUUGUUCAAGACAAUAUGGAUCUGGAAUGCUUUUGUUUGGCCAACCCCGUUUAAAAGAACUGCCAGACACAUUGUGAAGAUCAAGUGAUAGUUAACCUAUCUCAUCCAGCAUGUAAAACUCAGUAUGAUAUAGAUUAAAGACCAAAUGUGAGAGUAAAACUUCAAAAUAUUUCCCUAAAUAAACACGAAUAAUCUAUCUUCAAAUGAAAGAAUGUAUUCUUAUGGAAUCAAAGUAGGGAUUUCAUGCUGUGGGUAUAAAAAAGCACGGUCACCACGGCCUGGGCAUGAUUGAACUGAGAAUGAGACACCUCAGAUUCAAGAUGGGCCACAGCUGAGGCCACCUGGAGACUUUCUGGAUAGGUUUCCUUAUUUGGCCUCAUUUGUUGCUCUGAGGGGUCCUUGAACCCUUCCCAAGAUCCUGUUGAGGUUUCCUCUGUUGUCCACUGAACUCCUUGCUGGUUCUGAUUAAAUACCUGUUGCCAGGGUUGCUCUGCAGGCCGCUCGCAGAGUAAGGAGCUCUGCUGAGGAUUUCCCUCCUGCAACCCUAAAGGCCAUGCCGCGUGUCUCAUUCCUUUGAGCCUUCACUGUGCACCCAUCAGGAUAAUUGGGGCUCUAGGUACACACCACAACAGCUUGGCGCCAAAACAGGGACUGUACAGUAGAGACGUCAACUGUGGACAGUGACCUUCCUUCACUGUGUUCCUGGGGUGAAACACAGCCCUGACACGCAUCUAUUUUAUCUUCAUUUUUUUGGAACACGCCUUCAAAAGGUAAGUCUUGGGGAAUGCUCUGUCUGAAGCCCAGCAGAACCACAAAGCAGCGCUGCUUUUCCUUCUCAGCAAGGCAGGCCCUGUGACCUCCAGGGAUAUUGUGAUGCCCCUCUUGGAAAGUCAUGACCUGAUCCAGCGCCCUUCGUAUCCUGAAGGGGGUUGCUCAUCAUGGAGGAUUGCAACAAGACAGGAAAACUGCUGUCUGAGGAGCCUCGAGCUUCAGUCUCUGUCUUGCACACCUGGCAUCUUUGCUGGGAUGCUGUGACAACAUUUGGUACCACUUGGGGAACACCCCUUGGUUAGUCUCCUGGUUACCCUGGGGUGUCACUUCUGUUGCUUCCACCUCUCCACUAUAUGCUUCUGCCCCCUCGCCACUGCCACCACAAGACGCAAGCCUUGUAAAGCCUUUGGGUAACUUCCCACUGGUUCUAACUCCCAUGUAAAUGCUGGCCCAAGAAGAUAAACACAUGGGGAGUUAAUUGCUUGUCCUGUUUUGUGUCAACAAGGACAAGAGCCCAGCUUUGAAAGUUGGAGUGCUGAUUGUACUGGAAUGUUGUUCUUCAAGUGUGAUCUCUCCUGCCCAUUCAGCUGAAUGUUUCUGAAUCUGUAGCUCAACUAAUUGUCUUGCCUUAUAUCUCCUCUAAAGCUCGUGAUGUUACUCGUGGAUAUCAAGGAUUUGGAUCCACCAUGAUGGCUUCUGCUACACUCUCCUGGGAGAUGAAUAAAUGCCCAAGUCUCUCUUAGCUAUUGACAACUUUUCCUUUUCAGGUUUUAGCUCUUCUUUUCGAUGUUUUACGGGGUGACACAGAUCCUGCUGAUGUCUGACUGUCCUCCUCUACAGCAGGCCCUUCAGAGCAGUGCUCACACAGGCACCACAGCUGUGGCGGGUCAAGUCCCGAAGGACUGCCCUCUCUCCAUGCUCGUUUUUCUGUCAGCCCCUUGCCCACUGGGGCUGUUGUUGCAUCCAGAGUAGCAAGAAAUUUAUUGUUGAAUGAUUACAUUUACCCCACUCACCUGGCGGUAAUUCAGAUGAAAGCCGCUUGGUUAUGGCGGCCAGGAGGCGCCUUUUUGCUGACCCUUGGUGUCUAUGUCCCUUAUUUUCUCUUUACUUGCAGAACCCCACAGUCCUCUCCAAGAUCCUUUCCCAUGAGAUCUCUGCUAAUUGGCCUAUAACUAAUGGGGCUGGUCGAUUUAUAGUUGUAGAUUCUAAGUUUGCAAAAAGUUAUUGUAAUUCAUUUUGGUUAAGGAAAUGUUUGAGUGCACUACGAUUUUGUAAGAUGUUUGUCAGUCCAUCUGUGUGUCUGUUCUCUGUAGUCUUCUCCUAAGCAGUUGCUAGGAAUUCCUGAGCUUCGUGAUCAUUUACAUGUGUGGAGCAAAAAGCAAAAAUGCCCAUACAAGAACCCAUGUGGCCUAGAACACCUAGAAAUGCCCUGAGAGCAUGGUGGGGGGGAGAGGAGUCUGUGAGCCCGUUUAGCAAGGGGAAAAGGUGGCAGUACUUAGUGGCCCCUGGGGAACUUAAAGGGUUCUCACAGACCCUGACAAGCUGUGUACUUGUUUCUGGGUUUGAAUCUGUAACAGAUCAUCCGUCUAUAUUUGUUCAUUUGUCUGCUCUGUGAAAAGCUGUUCCUUUCAUUUUGAACUCAAUAAUUUUUGCUUUUUCCAUUUUUGGAUCAUUUGACCAAAAAUUCAUUGGGUUAUAGAUUUAAAGCAUGCUUUCUCCUUGGUUGCCAGCUGGUCCAAAGGAGGCAAAGAUUGAGUAUAGAAGUAUAAUAUGUUAAAAUCAUGGAGUUCGAAGUCUCAUUAUUUAGAAAAGGAAAAUAACAUUAUUAGGAUAAGUAACAAAAUCCCUUAUAAUUGGGAUUGUUGGGCAGCUCUCUAAUGAAUAAAUAAGAAAGCAGUUGCCUGGUAACAUUUUUAACCAGUUCUUGUUUAUUGAUGAAAGACGCCAGUAAUUUCCAUGGUCUUGUAAAGAGACACUCCAACUAACAGUUAUAAAGCAUAUUAUUGUUAUGUAUUCAUAUUGGUCAUUCUCCAAAAGAAAUAAUACAAUAAGCUUCUGGUUUGAAAAUCCAUGUGCAAUGAUUUCCUAUGGCUGUGAUAAUUGACUGCUAUCAACUUCCUGAUAUACUGGAUGUAUUCAUGGUUCUGGAUGCAUAGGGCUCCCAUGUUGUGAAUCAGGGAUUUCUUAUGGUAACAGACUUGUGUUUCCUGUUCAGACCUCUGCUGGUACCAAAAACUUGUGAGAUUCCGCUAAAAGUCAACAAGCUGGAUAGAUACUUAUUAUGUAUUAGACAACGGUGAUUGAAAAAGAGAUAUUUUAGGUCAAAAUAGAAAUUUGGAUUAUUGUAAAAAUGUAAUGAUUGUCAUGAUACAAUAAUAUGCACAGUAUUAAUUCCUGACUUACUGUGUAAAGUAUGUAACUGUUAACACUAUUGGUAUUCUAAUGCUAAAAUACCCAUGGAUAGUACAUAAUAGGUUUCAUUGGAUGUUCUAAGGUGCUUCAUGUUUAGAUGAGAGUAAUGUUAAGCUUACUACCUAUAAUGUUCUCUAUAAUUGUCCAUCUUUUCUUCUGGAUGUUCAACAGCUGAGGUUUAGAGACAAAAAAUUAGAGGCAGAUGGGCUAAAAUCCUAGCCAUAUUUUGGCCCUAGCCCUUCAUGGUCAUUGGGGACCCAGGACACAAAACAACCUCUGCUUGUGUCAUCCUAAGAUACUCAGUGAGUCCCCUGGCUUCUGAUCUAGAAGAUGAUGAAACCACAGAGGAAAGUGAUCUUCAAUGUUUGCUGUGCCUAAGGAGAGUCAUCAGGAGAAAGCUCUCCCAAGUUUUCACAGAAAGCAACUUGGUCAAGCAAUGGCCAUGACUCAUGCAGAUGGCUGACACCACUAGAAGAGCCAAGAGAUGCUGGGCAUGGUCCUAAGAUAAUUCCUGAGGAGACCUCACUGACCAAAUAGGAAGUAAGAACCUGAUUGUAUUUAAUGCAGAUCUCAUCUUAGCUUGGUCUUGAACCUCCUGCAGAAAAGUGUGACUUCCAGAGGUGUGAUGCCAAGUAAAAGUUGGAUGUGGGGAAGCUGGGAUCACUAACAACCCCUGACAAUUGCUGGCUCCUCUGGUAACUGGCUACUGUUAUGAGCUGAUGGACCACACAGAAUUUAAAUUGUGAGAGUUCUCCUAACACAGCUUCUCUAGCUUCUGCUGGCUCCCUGUCCUGUGUAUCAACAAAACAAAAAGAGGGACAUAUUGGAGAGCAUUGAAGCUGAAUACAGGGGCAAGGCUGUGAUGUGGGGGCGGCCUCAAGCUAUCUUGCCCCCUGAGGUGUCUUCUCAUUUUCAGUUCAACCAUGGCCUGGCCACGCCAGACCCUACGCAUGUGUCAAGUGUCAACACUCUUAACAGGAUGUAAUGACACAGAAAGGAAAAGAUUAACUUUCCCAGCUUCUCUGUGCACUGUUGUGGGGCCAUAUGAAAACCUAUCCAACAGGUUACAAGGAAAAUUCGGGUGACCAGAGCCUGAGCAGUGUUCUCUGAGAACUGGUGACCUUUGCUCUAUUUCUUUCCCUCUGCCAAUAGAAAGGAGAAAAGAAGCCUAGAUCUGGAGGGAUCAUUUUUAUCAAUGAAGUCAAAGCUACACACAAGGUGAAAUGGACAAGAGCAAGACAUCAAAGGAUCUGAGGCCUCUGAGGAUGAAGAGCCUACUCAGAACCUGCUCAUGUCCGGGUUUGACUCACAUAAAAGAGAGAGGAACACCUGGCCUAUUUCUUGUGCUUCAUAUUAGGCUUUCUGCCUCUCACAGCCAAAGCUUAAGGUGAUAAUAAAAGUCAUUCUGCAUGAUGUCAAUAAAUGUUUCUAACUUUAAAAAUGCUAGAACAACAUUAAAGGUGGUAUUGUCUUCGUAACAUCAAGAAAUAUUGGAAAGAAAAUAAUUGAGAAUUUAAGUGAUACUUUACAUAAUAAAGAGAGCCAGACAGAAAAUCUCCUAGAGGAGGAGUGGAGAAUCCCACUGUCAGCAGGAACACAGCAGGCAUAAACACCCCAGAAGAUGACAAUGAAUAGCACCACAAGGUGGGACAUGUUUAGGUGAAGGCCAGUCACUGUGAAAAUGAUAGCUGCCCUGUAGGAAGCACUUCCUAUCCUGUCUGCCAGAUUACCUCAUCUAAUCCUAGCUACAUGACACUGGGACAGCAAUCUUGUGACAAGUUUAGAAAAAAUAAGGAAUUUUCCCCACACUGAACAUCUAGACUGUGUCUAUGCCGGGCUUCAAACCUAACUGAACCAGAAUGCCAAAGUGCUGGAAGGAUGGGUGUCCACUGAGGUGUGAUGGCUCAUCCCUGCUGGAUCCAUCAAUAAAUCUUAAAAAAUCCAACUUAUUGUUUAUAAAGCAGCUUAUCCUUUACUGAUAGAUUGACAUCAUUGGUCCCCACCACCACCAUUCCUGGUAUAAUAUAAUAUAGUACAAUAUAAUAUCAUAUAAUAACAAUGUGAUCAGGACAAAAAAGUAAUAGAAAGAUGGCAAGAAAUGUUUGGCACUGUAUGGAAAAUAUUCCAUAGUGUCAUGGUUUAUGUCAGUGGUCCCCAAGCCUCAUGGAAUUAUGUAUGCAACCAAAUUAAGCAGUUGUGAUUAGUUGGCCUCUAGCACUUGGAUUAGUGUUUGAGUGCUUCACCCGCCCAGGGGUGGAGCCAGGAUGUGAUGUAAAGGUGCAUAGGGGGUGUGUCGCUCUCUCUGGCGAGUCUAGCUUACUGUUUGCAGCUGUCAAGAACUUCAGCCUUGCCAUGCCACCCUGCCUUGAAGCCAAAUGAGUGUGGACUGAAACCUCCAAGAACUGUAAGACAAAAACCUUUCCUACCUUCAUUUUGAGUGUCUUGUGUUUUGUUCCAGCAAUGAGAGAAAAGUAACUAAGACACACAGAAACUGAUUGAAGAAAGAGGACUUAGUACAAAGAUUCCUUUAAACUGCUAGUAUUAUGCUCAGUAGUACGAUGUUACUCUCAGAGGCCCCUGGGACUGCUGUAGUGACCCACCGUAACCUGGGGAGCUGAUCACAGGGAUCUGUUUCUCAGUUCUGAAGGACAGGAAGUCCAAAGGUGCCAGCAGAUGGUCAGGUGAUGCCUGCUUCCUAAAUCCUAGGUGGAAGCUGCUCACUGUGCCCACAGAGUGGGGAGGGUUGCCUAAUGGCACUGAGGAGUCAAUCCCUACCCCAGGACGUUGCCUGCUCCCAGCUCAGGCUACUCCUCAAACAUCUAGAAAAACAAGAGCAAGUCAAGCCCAAAGCUAAAAGGAGGAAAUUCUAAAAAUCAGAGAAGAAAUUAAUGCAAUAGAGACUAAAAACAAUCCAAAGAAUCAAUGAAUCAAAGCGUUGGUUCUUUGAAAGAAUAAAUAAAAUUGAUAAGCCUCUAGCCAACAUAGUUUAGAAAAAGAAAGAAAAAAAUCAAAUUCAUGCAAUAAAGAAUGAAUUAGGUGAAGUCACUACAGACUCUGUGGAAAUACAGAAGAUCAUCAACACCUAUUUCAAAAACUUCUACUCUCAGGGACUGGGAAUUUAGCUCAGUGGCAUAAGCCCUUGCCUCACAAGCACAUGGUCGUGAGUUCGAUCCCUGGUACUGAUAAAAAAAAAAAAAAAAAAAAAAAAAAAAAAAAAAAAAAAAACCUCCACUCUCAUAGGUUCAACAACACUGAAGAAAUGGACAGACUCCUAGAAACAUAUGAAAUACCAAAGCUAGCUCAAGAAGAUGUAAAACUGCUGAAUAACCCAACUUCUAUUAAUGAAAUUGAAAAUGUAAUUAAGUCCUUACCUACAAAAAAAGCACAGGCCCAGGAAGACUCAAUGCAGAAUUCCAAAAGAAAUAUAAAGAAAUAAUGCCAACAGUCUUCAAACUUUUCAAUGAAAUUGAAAGGGAAGCAAUUCUUCCUAAGUCAUUCCUGGAAGCAAGUAUUACUCUAGUACCAAAACCUGAGAAAGACCCAACUAAAAAAGAGUACUACAGGCCAAUCUCCCUAAUGAACACAGAUGCAAAGAUCCUCAAUAAAAUAUUGGCAAAUAGGAUGCAGCAAGUCAUCAAGAAGAUUAUACACCACGACCAAGUGGCAUUCAUCCCAGGCAUGCAGGGAUGGUUCAACAUACAGAAAUCAAUAAAUGUAAUGCACCAUAUCAAUAAAGCCAAAAGUAAGCAUCACAUGAUCAUUUCUAUAGAUGCAGAAAAAGCUUUUGAUAAGGUCCAACAUUCAUUCAUGGUAAGAAACUUACAGAAAAUUGGAGUAGAUGGUCUUUACUUCAAUAUGAUAAAGGCCAUCCAUGAAAAUCCAAGAGCCAGUAUCCUAUUAAAUAGCCAAGCACUGAAGGCCUUUUCCUUAAAUGAGGUCCAAGACAAGGAUGUCCCUUAUCAUCGCUCUUAUUCAACAUAAUACUGGAAAUUCUAGCCAGAGCAAUUGGACAAGAGAGACAAAUAAAAGGGGUAAAGACAGGAAAAGAGGAAGUAAAAUUACCAUUAUUUGCAGAUGACAUGAUACUCUACAUUGAAGACCCCAAAACUCCAUUGAAAGACUCUGAAAUAUAAUAGAUAAAUUCAGCAAUGUGGCUGUAUACAAAAUUAAUACUCAAAAAUCAAUAGCAUUUCUAUACACUAAUAAAAAAUCACAGAGAGAGAAAUGAGAAGCCACACACUUCACACUAGCAUUGAAUAAAAUGAAAUACUUAAGAAUUAAUCUCAUGAAAGAUGUAAAAGGUCUAUACAGGGAAAAUUAUAAUACCCUGGAAAAGAAAUGGAAGAAGAUCUCAGAAAUUGGAAAGACAUCCCUUGUUCAUGGACAGGAAGAAUAAAUAUUGUGGAAAUGGCCAUUCUCCCAAAAUUGUUAUAUAGAUUUAAUGCAAUCCCGAUGAAAAUACCAUCAACAUACCUCAUAGAUCUAGAGAAAUCACUCCUCAAAUUCAUCUGGAACCAGAAGAGAUCUAGAAUAGCAAAGACAAUUCUAAGCAGCAAAGGCAAGGCAGACAAUCCACAAUCCCUGACCUGAAGUUAGACUACAAAGCUACUAUAAUAAAAUCAACGUGGUACUGGAAUAAAAACAGAUCUGAAGAUCAAUGGAAUAGAUUAGAAGAUACAACCACAACUACCAACACCCUCAACAACCUUAUCUUUGAUAUAGGGGCCAAACAUGUACACUGGAAAAAUGACAGUCUCUUUAAUAAAUGGUGCUGGAAAAACUGGCUCUCUAUUUGCCAAAAACUAAAACUAGACCCAUGCCUAUCACCAUACACUACACUGAAAUCUAAGUGGAGCAAACAUCUGAAUAUUAAAACAGAAAUACUAAAUCUGUUGGAAGACUAAGUAAAAAUCUUGAAGACAUAGGGGUAGGUAGAGAAUUGAUAAACAGAAAUCAAACCGCAUGGGAACUGCUUCACAGAAUCAAUAGCUGGGAUCACUUCUUAUUAAAAAGUUUCUGCAUGUGAAAAGAAAUCUCCAGUAUAUGAAAAGAAAACCCACAAACUGGGAAAAAGUCUUAGUGAACUGUCCCUCAGACAAAGGACUUCUGUCAAAAACAUAUAAAGAAUUUAAAAAAAUCAGACCUCCGAAAUUCAAAGACCCAAUCCAAAAAUGUGCAUCUGAGAUGAAUACACAGUUCCCAGAUGAAGAAGUACAAAUGGCAAAUAAAUACAUGAAAAAAAUGUUCAUCAUUAAUCAUUAGAGAAAUGCAAAUUAAAACCACGCUAAGAUUCCAUCUCACUCCAGAAAGAAUGGCCAGGAUCAAGAAAACUACCAACAACAAAUGCUGGAGAGACUGUGGGGGAAAAAGAACUCUCCUGCACUGUUGGUGGGAUUGUAGAAUGGUGCAACCACUUUGGAGGUCAUAUGGAGAUUCCUCAAAAAGCUGGGGUUGGAAGUCCCAUUCAACACAGCUAUUCCACGUCUACGCUUAUUCCCACAAGAACUGAAAACAUCAUACCACAGUGAUAUAUGUGCACCCAUGUUUAUAGCAGCACAAUUUGUAAUAGCCAGAUCUUUGAAACAACCUAAGUGUCCAUCAACUGAGGAAUGGAUAAAAAAAGUUGUGCUAUUUUUAUGCAAUGGAAUACUAUUCAGCUAUCAAGAAUGAUCACAUUGAGAUAUUUAUUAAUAAAUGGGUGCAACUUGAGUUGCACCAUACUCAUGAUUGAAAUAAACUCACAUGUACAAGUACCAUAUAGUCUCCCUAGUGUAAGAAAUGGUAGGAGCACAUAAGAGUUUAUGGUAAUCAGGAUUGCCGUUACAUUGCUUUGAAGCCUUAUAAUGAUCACAUUCAUUCGUUGGAAUGGAUUUAUCCUGGUUUCUUUAGUGUUUAUUAUCUAAGAUGGUAUGAACAGGUAUUUUAAAGAAAACAAGUCAUUAUAAUAGCCAGUGCUGAUUUAAUAUCAUCUUAUUCUGCAGUCCUACUAAGCUUUUGCUCUUCUGUUUCCAUUGGUUCUAUCAUGUUGUAUCUUAUUAGAUUGUAUUACAUGUUAUAGUAUAAACAAAUCUUCUAUGGAAAAUGAGGUAAUACAGUAGCCGUUGUUCAUUUUCUGUUAUUUGGUUCUGAAUGCCCUGUAAUACUUACAUUCUCUUGAAUUGUUUUAUACUAUUUUCUUAUGUUUGAUACUAUCAUAUAUGAAGUUAUGCUCAACUAUUUCAAAGAAAGAGACAUUAUCGCAGUUACUGUCAAUUACAGGUUGUGUUCUGGUGAAAUAUUGUGUUGCUUACAUUGUUCUAUUCUGAUCUGCUUUGUUAUGUUCUGUUUUGUCUUAAUCUCUUUAAAAUAAAAGAAAUUUUAAAAUAAAAA